UUGAAUGGCAUAGUUAUACGCGUACACGGUAAAUUGUUUGUUUAAUUUGCGCAGUUUUGUCAAGAAUUAAAUUAUUGAAAUAAUGAGAUAAAUUGCUUACACUCUUGCAAUAUCGGAACUCCAAUGAAAUUUAAACCGAAGGGGCGUCCGAUUUUUGCCUGCAAAAAAUAUUAUCCGCAAUAUUUUAAAAAUGUGAAAAUAAUUGGCUGGUACAUCUACUACACAUUCUGAUAUACUAUGUACACAUAACACAAUAUAAAAUGUGUUCCAACAGAGUUUUGGAUAAUAUAGAAUGUUGUAUGGAAGAAUUGGCUGAUAAUUUUGAUGGCUUCAUCAAAACAUCUUUGUUUAUUAUUACUAUAAUCCUUGGUAUCAUAGUGGCCAGCAUCCUUUACCUGUUCAAAGAAAUAUCGACGCGUCCUUUGCCAGGGGCCAGUAAUGACGAAGGAAUACAUCGCUGUAAUGAAUCUUGUACCACCGGGUCCCAAAUACCAAUAUUGAGAACAAAUACAAGAACUUCGGUUUCAAACGAAAUCCUAGAAGGUCAACUUGAUCUCAAAUGUGAACAGCCAUUCAGGGUCCUACAAGAAGAUGGCGUUAAACCAAAGCAAUCAGUAAUUCUUACAAGAAAAUCUAGCACUGAACAUAGCUCUCAAGUAACCAAUCUAAAAAAGAAUGAUAACACUGAAAAAAGCCCACAACCUGAGCAGCUAAUUGAUAAGCAAGAUAAAUUAGUUUCAACGAGUGCUGUCAAACCAGCCCCAGAUUCGAGCUUUGAUGAAAGAAUGCUAAAAGAAAUUGGAUUCACUGGCUGUGCGAGGCCCUGCUGUAAAAAAAAUUUGAAAUCUAAAAUUUCAAAAAGUGGAAGCAAGAAAUCUCUAAGGCCUUCAGUGCCAAGUUUGCCAAUAAAUAAAGCGCCGCAACGUAAUGUCACUCCAGAAGACAUACCUACGAAAAUUGACAAAUUAAAAUCAUGUUGUUCUCUGUGCUGUGAUAAGGGAAAAUAAACUCUAGUCAUUAUUUGUUUAAAAUAUUGAUUAGAAAAGUAAAUUAUCAAUGAUUAUCGAUGUUAACUUUACACUUUCAAACUUAACAAUACAAUUAAUGAAAUGGAUCUAAGUUUUUAUUUGAAUAGAUUUUGUGGUACAGUCCUUAUUCCUUGGUGAUCUGAUUGGUGGGGUCUGGGGAAUGGAGGCUUCGUUCUCUCACCUCAUCAGAGGCCUCACUAGUGAUGUGCCGCUAUGUUGCGGCACAUCAGUAGUGCCCACUCCAAUGCCCGAUAAGAAAGGGGCGGAAAGGUGUCAAGAAUAUAAAAGAUAUAUAAAUACUGAAAUGCAUAAGCACCGUUUAUUUAUUUCAGUAUUUAUGACAAUAUAAAUCUCUUAUAUCUCCUGCCCGUGUAUGCAUGUCAGGUUAAGCAUAUUAUGCAAUGUAGUUAAAACUGAAUAGCUUUUGAUCCUAGAACCUCAACUAUUUUAAGCUUUUCUCAUCUAAACCUUUCGAAAGAUAUAUUAUGUACUUAUUGUAGUUGCUGAAAAAUAAAAUUAUUAACACCGUUUUUAUGCUUUUAAUAUAAUUGUAUCACAAAGCACAUAAAGACUGUUUUCCAAUUGCAGCACUAGAGCGCAUUAUGCGGCAUAAUGUUCAACGUUGAGUGUUCCAACUACAGCAACGCUUUGCACAAUCGAGCACUCUCAAAAGUACUGCUUUCGCGUGAUGCGUAGAACUCAGUGGCAGAAAAUUAACAUGUGUUUUUUUCUAUGAGUGGGCAUUGGUCCAAAUUUUAUUUACUAUCGGUAGUAAUAUUGUUUAUUGUUGAAAAAAUUUUGAAAGAUUUCGUUUUG